rnacentral:rRNA from 1 species
UACGAAGGGGGCUAGCGUUGCUCGGAAUCACUGGGCGUAAAGCGCACGUAGGCGGCUUUCUAAGUCAGGGGUGAAAUCCUGGAGCUCAACUCCAGAACUGCCUUUGAUACUGGAAAGCUUGAGUCCGGGAGAGGUGAGUGGAACUGCGAGUGUAGAGGUGAAAUUCGUAGAUAUUCGCAAGAACACCAGUGGCGAAGGCGGCUUACUGGUCCGGUUCUGACGCUGAGGCGCGAAAGCGUGGGGAGCAAACAGG